CAAGUGACAGCUACAACACAAAAUAAACAACAUCCAACGAGUCAACAAGUUUUGGGAUUGAGGAUGCGGUUAAUGGAAGGCAUCCACAACAAAAUUUGCUGUUUAUUGAGAUAUACUCUCAAUAAAAAGCAAAAAACAAGGAUUCUGGAUGCCUGGGAAAUGGAAUGGGAUUCGGAUGAAGGCGAGGAACUGGUGGUACAAGGGAUGCUGAGAUGGAUUAAGGGAGUUUUUUGAUAAUUGUGGGGAAAAACCCACGAUUUAGGCCGGGCAAACUUUUGUACUACCAUUAAGUAGAGGAUUUUGUUGAAACCCCUAUCUGCUGGAGCGUCUGGUGUACCAAAGUUAAGGAUGCUGGGAGGUACACUUCUAGAUAUGUGGAUCGGAGGUGCUCGUCAGAGAUUUGCGAGAAAAAACCGAGCUAGUACCUAUGUCCUCUAUUAAGCCUAAAGUGAAUCCUGCUAUGCAACGAAUCAACACUUAUCAUUAAUGUCCCCCAUCUCUAUCCGCCACCACUACGAAUUUCUACGUUACAUCAUACAAGUGAUUGUUGAGAGGGGUUUCCAUCACUCCAUCAGCGGAGGUGGAAUUUUUAAAAUCUAUUGGGGGUUCUGAUUUGGAUUGGCACGCGAUUCCCCCGUACCCUUCGCGUCCCGAAACCGGUUUCCCUGAUUGCAUCGUGGGCAACGUGGAGUUAUUACACCUUCUUGACCACACUUGUAGCAAAACACGUUUCGCACAUCAGACUCACAAUCAAAGUAAGUAUGGCCCUGCACUCUGCAGUUCCAACAUUCUAAUUUUGUAGGGUCCGCGUAUUUGCGAGGCGAAAUUUUUGGUCGAGCCGUACCAAACUGAUAAGCAGCAAGCUGUUCAUCCGUCGGUUGGUACUCCUCUUCCAAUUCCAGUUCAUUGACCGGAUAUUUGCCUGGUGGUUUGGCAAAGGUUUUUGGCAAUUCCUUCCUCGGAAAUGCCACUUCUGCAUCCUUGCACGCAGUCCUCAGCUGAUCCGAGGUAAAGAUGGCCUGUGGGUAAACUAAUUUCCCUAUCCUUUCAUUGAGAUUUCUUUUCAGAAUUCGGACCAUCUCUACAUCCGGUAUUGGGACCCUUAAUUGGAAUUUCAUCCUGUUUAUUGCCAUGAAGAAAUCUUCACUACUCUCCCAGGAAUGCUGCUUGCGAUCCAUGAUGUCUCGGAUUAUCUCGAAGUCUGAGCGAGUAUUCCUAUACUGACGCAGCAAGGCAUCCUUCAAAGCUGGCCAGUCAUGACGGUAAUUUGUCCGCUGAAACUGCCAGUACCACUCGGUGGCAUUUCCUGAGAGAAGUAGAUGAAAAUCCCUUAACACUUCGCCCCAGGAACAUCUAUGCUUGUUCCGCUGGAUCUCAACCCGAAGAACAAAAUCCUCAGCGGUCAUAGUCGUUGGUUGGCCAUCGAACUUCAAGCCCCAUCUAUCCAAUCUUAUUGGACCCUGGGGUCUCGGAUGCUGAGUUGGACCAUAGUACUCCGGUUGGUAGCCGUAUGGGUUAGGAGUUCGCAUAGGGUAAGAGUUGGCAUACGGAUCUGACGGGAUUUCCUCAUACCCAGCGGGAAGAUUACCCCUAUCUUGAGGUCUUCUCGUCGGGUCAUGUAUUCGGCGACUCGGUUGAUUAACCGGUACAAAAGCGCUUUCACCCGGAUCAACUGGAGGAUACUGCUGCACUGGUGGCUGGGUCGCCGGCACGGGUCUAGGCAUCUGAUCGGUAGAAGAUUGAUUCGUUGGCCCAAUGUUUAAAUUCCUAAGGAAUUCACCAAGUUGAUUUUGGAUUUCACUCUUUAAGAAGGAGGUGGUCUUUGAGCUAGGCUCUCUAAAAUGUUCCUGGUACUACCUGAGCCAACUGCCUGGACUGAUACUGGCCUAUUACUAGUAUCAGGCACAAAACCUGUCGCUGGUCGCACAGUAUCGUUCAUCGACCCGAUACUUUCCCUACUAUGCACAUUCUCCUCUCUCAUCCCACUAAGUUGACUAAACGGGGGAGGAGAAACUGAAUCGACCGUGCUAUAGGUUUCAUCGCGAGCCAGAGGAAUACUAGCCCUAGCUGGUUGGUUGGAUUCUGCUCGGAUUUGCCUAUCGGAAAUUAGAGGAGAAUACAUCAUCUGCUGUCUAGAGCAUUCCUUAUAAGGCGGUUUAUGCGAUCUUCUUCCUCUUUACUGGAGUAAGCCAUAGUUUAUCUGUUCAACAAUCAACAAAGAAAAUAGAUAACAACAAAACAAAGGUGGUGAGUUUGCAAAUAAAAAACACACCUAUUGGUAUUUGCAACCUAAUUUUAUAUAACGAAUCUUACGAAAACGAAAAUGUCAAAAAAAAUAAAUGAAUAAUGUAACGAUGGAAAAAAUGUGAAUUUAUAGAAACUAUAAUAAGAAAAAAAAAUGAAAAAGAUAAAUUGAAAAAACUAAAUUAAGAAAAAUAAAUUAAUCAAACAAAAAAAAACAAAAUGUAAACCUAUCGAAAACUGUAUACAAAAAAAAUAAAUAAGAUAGAUAAACUGUAAACUGUAAACUUGAACUAAACAAAACCUAAUAUUGAAACAAAAAGAU